CGAAAUCUGGGUAGGCAACGUAGCUCACUUUGCCUGAAAAGCGAUGCAACUUGAUUACGUUCGCCUCGUCGAUUUCGCC
rnacentral:tRNA from 1 species